rnacentral:rRNA from 1 species
AUUGAACGCUGGCGGCAGGCCUAACACAUGCAAGUCGAACGGUAACAGGAAGCAGCUUGCUGCUUUGCUGACGAGUGGCGGACGGGUAAGUAAUGUCUGGGAAACUGCCCGAUGGAGGGGGAUAACUACUGGAAACGGUGGCUAAUACCGCAUAACGUCGCAAGACCAAAGAGGGGGACCUUAGGGCCUCUUGCCAUCGGAUGUGCCCAGAUGGGAUUAGCUAGUAGGUGGGGUAACGGCUCACCUAGGCGACGAUCCCUAGCUGGUCUGAGAGGAUGACCGGCCACACUGGAACUGAGACACGGUCCAGACUCCUACGGGAGGCAGCAGUGGGGAAUAUUGCACAAUGGGCGCAAGCCUGAUGCAGCCAUGCCGCGUGUAUGAAGAAGGCCUUCGGGUUGUAAAGUACUCUCAGCGGGGAGGAAGGGAGUAAAGUUAAUACCUUUGCUCAUUGACGUUACCCGCAGAAGAAGCACCGGCUAACUCCGUG